AGAGGAGGAGACCCUGUGUGGUGAAGCAAGCAGGAAAUUACCCAACCAAACAUUAGGAGAGCUCAAUGCGUUACAAUUGCUUCUGCAUCAUUAAAUAAUGCCGCUUUCUAAUGAACAUCAAAGGACGAUAAAUGAAUAGAACUGCCUGGACGUGACUGAGUACCCUGGAACUAAUAGUGUGUGGAGCAGGAGGGAAGGACAAUAAAAUGAAGCAGGAAUAUAAAACAAUCUGGUAGCUGAAAAGCCAGAAGACUGAGGAGCUCUCUAAAUGGGGUAGGAGAGGAACCAUUUCCACUCAGUAGCUAUUGAUUAAGACAGAGUGUAAGUGGUGUACUGUGAGGGAGGAGAAAGGUAAUUCUAUGAGACAGCAUCCUGUCUGGGAGAACAUUCGCUGCCCUUCACCUUCAGUGUUCGUUCACUCUUCACUGUUCCCUCACUGUCUGCACAGGAAUUAUGGAGUAACAGCUGAGGAUAAAGCUCCAACCCCCAAAAGAGAAGGUUUUCCUGCUCUACUUCUUCAAAACUUUGUUUCCAGUUUUGCAUCCCAGUGCUUCACCCUUUACUUUAAUGGAGCAUCCCUGUCUCUUUUGGGACUUACACAGGAAUGAGCAUGGUGCUGAAGUGAGCUGGCAGGAGUAGUGGGCUCUGUUCUUGCACUUCUAUUUCCAUCUGGCCUGACUUGCUCAGAGUGCUUCCUGCCCAGGAGGUGUUUCAGGGCUCUCAAGAGCUCCAGCAUAUGCUGUUCACCAGGCUGGAUGUUGCACCAGCAGAGAUGAAUCGCCUCUGGGGCACUUGCCAGUAUUUUUUAUUGGCAAAUGAGAGCUUGGUAGAAGAUGGCUUAGCAGUGGGCGCAUUCAUGAUAUGGAUGGGUUUGAAAAUAAUUACCUUUCUUGGGGAUAAUCCAACUGUAGGACAGGGACUGGAGUUCAUGGGUUUUUUAAGGUCUUUUCAGAGCUGUUUGGGGGGACUAGCUCUCAAAAUCCCUCCCUCUUUAUAUAAAUCUUUGUUACUGUUAUUAUUUGCCCCAUUCUUGACUACUCAUGAUAUAAAGCAGCCUCAGGACUGAUCCAAGUUUUAUCUCUUGAUGAAAUUCCCUGGAGUUCUGGUACAUUAGAAGUGUCAUAAUAAAAAAUAUCCAAAAUAUAUCACCUACUACCACUGGCGUACCCUAGCAUUUGGGAAUAUCCCAGCACAAAUAAUUAUAUCAUGUGAUCCUCACAGAUAUGCAAGGACAAGAUGUCUAAUCCAGGAGAGGAAGGAGAAAAACAUACAGUUGUCAAUAGACUUAAAAAUCUCUAUACAUUUAAAGUGUGUAGUUGAACUAUAGGUAGUUGAGUAAAUUCAGUGACUGUUACCCAGGGAAAAUUUUAGACAUUAAAAUUAAUGAACAAAUGUAUGUUUGUAGUUUGCAAAAUGAAAGACUAUAUGGUGUCAGAAGAGGUUUUAUCUUCUGUAUAUAUUUUUUUAAAAAUGUAAUAAAUACAAAGCAAAUAGCAUUGGUUUAUACAAGGGAAUAUUGAAAUCCAUUAGGAAUGCACUUGGAGUAAUCUGAUUCAACAAGUCAGUAUAUUUCUCUCAAAAACAUAAUAUCGGUACUACAUUGAGCGAGAUGAAGGUUAGAUUACAUUUCUUGCCAGUGCAAUAAUUCCCACAUCAUAAAUUCUGAUGAAAUUAUAUCAAUAUAUAAAGCAAAUGGAUGUCUGACCGACCAUCGUUUUCUAGUUCUCAGAUGUACAAGCUGACAUAUAAGUAAAUCCCCAGCUGCUUUGUGCAAUACUAUUACAACUAUGCCAUUGCCUGGGAACUGUUAUUAGCUAUCUUGACCAGAAGUGGCUGUUAGAGUUUGUGGUUUCUGCUCUGAAUAUUAAACUUUGGCAUACAAGAGUCCUUAUUGUGGGGAGCACUUGGAAAUGGUAAUACUAAAUUGCUUUAUAUUUGCCGGAUUUGAUUGCUUCAGAUGAUACAGGACUAGCUGGUGGGCCUCUCUUACUGCUUGUAUUUCCAGAUUAUAAAUCAUUCCUUUGACAGGGUAUCUGCCAUAACUAGUUCUCAGUUUCUGUAGUAUCCUUCUUUAUAUUAAAGCUGGCAACUAGUUUUCUGGACCAUGCACUUUUUGCAUAACUUUCAAGAAUAAAGGCAAAAUUGAAGCUUU